CCUACGGGUGGCAGCAGUGGGGAAUAUUGCACAAUGGGGGAAACUCUGACGCAGCGACGCCGCGUGAGUGAAGAAGUAUCUCGGUACGUAAAGCUCUAUCAGUAGGGAAGAAAAUGACGGUACCUGACUAAGAAUCCCCGGCUAACUACGUGCCAGCAGCCGCGGUAAUACGUAGGGGGCAAGCGUUAUCCGGAUGUACUGGGUGUAAAGGGAGCGUAGACGGCAGCACAAGUCUGGAGUGAAAUCCCGUGGCUUAACCCCGGAACUGCAUUGGAAACUGUGCGGCUGGAGUGCAGUAGAGGUAAGCGGAAUUCCUGGUGUAGCGGUGAAAUGCGUAGAUAUUAGGAGGAACACCGGUGGCGAAGGCGGCUUACUGGACUGUAACUGACGUUGAGGCUCGAAAGCGUGGGGAGCAAACAGGAUUAGAUACCCUUGUAGUC
rnacentral:rRNA from 1 species